rnacentral:tRNA from 1 species
AUUUAAAUAGCUUAAAAUUAAAGAGCAUAACAUUGAAGAUGUUGAGGUAGUAACUUUACUUUUAAAUA